CUUAACAAUAAUUUACUCUGUUCACGUGUUUGAGUUGUAUAUGUUCACCGUUUUAAUGCGAUAGGAAUUGCUUGUAAACACUGAAAACUAUUUUUUUUUCACGAUUUUCAUCUACUUCAAUCGAGUCUAGUCAACGUUUAAUUCUAUUCACAUAAAACAAAAUGAAGACAACAUUAAACACGAAAGCAAUAGUUAAAAAAGCAAUCUUUUUGUUUUUACUUAUAACAAUGGUUAUAAUACCAACAUAUGGAAACAAUAAUACGAACAACAAAA